rnacentral:rRNA from 1 species
UACGGGGGGUGCGAGCGUUGUCCGGAAUUACUGGGCGUAAAGCGUGCGUAGACGGUUAUUUAAGUCGGGUGUGAAAGCCCCGGGCUCAACCUGGGAAUUGCAUUCGAGACUGAAUAGCUAGGGUACGGUAGAGGGAAGCGGAAUUUCCGGUGUAGCGGUGAAAUGCGUAGAUAUCGGAGGGAACAUCAGUGGCGAAAGCGGCUUCCUGGACCAGUACCGACGUUCAGGCACGAAAGCGUGGGGAGCAAACAGG